rnacentral:rRNA from 1 species
AGGACGAACGCUGGCGGCGUGCCUAACACAUGCAAGUCGAACGAGGUCCAACCGGUAGCAAUACCGGUGAAGACCAAGUGGCGAACGGGUGAGUAGCACGUGAGCAACCUGCCCCGAAGACCGGGACAACACCGGGAAACCGGUGCUAAUACCGGAUAUCCCCACCGAGUCGCAUGGCUUGGUGAGGAAAUGGAUUCCGCUUCGGGAGGGCUCGCGGCCUAUCAGCUUGUUGGUGAGGUAACGGCUCACCAAGGCUUCGACGGGUAGCUGGUCUGAGAGGACGAUCAGCCACACUGGGACUGAGACACGGCCCAGACUCCUACGGGAGGCAGCAGUGGGGAAUCUUGCACAAUGGGCGAAAGCCUGAUGCAGCAACGCCGCGUGAGGGACGAAGGCUUUCUGAGUUGUAAACCUCUUUCAGCAGGGACGAUUGUGACGGUACCUGCAGAAGAAGCCCCGGCCAACUACGUGCCAGCAGCCGC